AGCGAACGCUGGCGGCAGGCCUAACACAUGCAAGUCGAACGGAUCCUUCGGGAUUAGUGGCGGACGGGUGAGUAACACGUGGGAACGUGCCCUUUGGUUCGGAACAACUCAGGGAAACUCGAGCUAAUACCGGAUGUGCCCUUCGGGGGAAAGAUUUAUCGCCAUUGGAGCGGCCCGCGUCUGAUUAGCUAGUUGGUGAGGUAAAGGCUCACCAAGGAGACGAUCAGUAGCUGGUCUGAGAGGAUGAUCAGCCACAUUGGGACUGAGACACGGCCCAAACUCCUACGGGAGGCAGCAGUGGGGAAUCUUGCGCAAUGGGCGAAAUCCUGACGCAGCCAUGCCGCGUGAAUGAUGAAGGUCUUAGGAUUGUAAAAUUCUUUCACCGGGGACGAUAAUGACGGUACCCGGAGAAGAAGCCCCGGCUAACUUCGUGCCAGCAGCCGCAGUAA
rnacentral:rRNA from 1 species